GCCCUGGAAGGGAGGGAAGCCCGGGCAGACCCAGGAUCUGACUGCAAGGGGUUGGCUGCUUCUCUCCUGCCUAUUCCACCACCAGCCGCCCCCGCUUCCCCAGCGCCCGCUGUGGCCUGCCCUCCUGGGCCCACCCUCCGCUCAAAUCCUGCCCUUGUGAUUGACAGGCCUCCGCGACCCGGAGGAGGAACCUCAAGGAGGAACCGGACCCCUCCUCGCAGAGCUGCUACCGCCACACAGAAGGGGCCCAUUCUGCUUACAGGCCAUUCCUGCCACCAGUUUCCCUCCGCCCGACCUCCAUUGCCUGGGUGCUCAAUCCUCCGAAACUCUAUGCCGUCCCCUUUUUAGUCCUGCCUCCCAACGUUCUGAAAAGAUGAAGAAGGCAUCCUUGUCACCUCGAGGUUGGUGACCCCGGUAGAUCAAAUGGCAAGCAUGAGUGUCAGGGGUGAUUUGAGAAGAAAGAUGGAAGUUUGCAAAAUGAGAUUUUAUAGAUGGAAUCUCACCAUAAGAAAUUUGAGAGUUCAUAACUAUUCUGAAAAUAGUUGUUAUCUGCAUUAAGACAACUGUAUAAAUAAAGGAAUCAGUGAUGCAGCCGGUUGGAG
rnacentral:lncRNA from 9 species